UCCAUUAAUUGCCAUUGACUUGUAUGAUAUGUAGUAUGAUGGUAUGUUUUCAAUAUUAACGGUGAGAUACGAUGUAUCUAUAGCCAUUUUUAUUUUAUAAUUAUAUCAUAUAUCUAUUGUUAUUACACUUCAAAAUUUUACUUCCACGAAAAAAUAUAUCAACUCGUUUAAAACUCUCCUUCAUAACCGCCGCUGCCAUAUAAAUUUCCGGUGGCGGGCGCCGUCCAUGAGUUAAACGACUGAGUUUGUAUAAAUGCGGUAGAUCUUGAGGUGCAGAAGAUCCUGCUUUGACAGCCGUAGCCGUUUCUUGGGCAUGAUGAUCGAAGCUAUCUGGUUUCGUUUGGCUACAAUGAUAGAUGUACUUUGUACAGACACAGACGAGCUGAACCUAUAUUUACACAUACAUACAUAGAAUUAGGUCAUGUAUAUUGACUUGCUGGUGCUGUGUGAACCACAUAAAUUUUUUUAUUUUACUAGUUCUUUUUUUACUUUGUGGGUAUUCUAUAUAUAUAUAUAUAUAUAUCGUGUAAGUAAUUACCUUUCUAUUUUUGUAUUUUUGUACACAUAAUUCUUUUCUUUUAUUUACGUAUCAACCAUUUUGAAUUCGUGUGUUUGCUGCUGUAAGAUUGGUAGGUUACUAAAAUCAGAAGUUGGUACUCGUAUUUAAUGCAGUAGGCCUUUAAAUCUCUGCAUCUAAUUUAUGUAGGCUUCCAACCAAAUCUACACGAGAGGGAGAUUUAGUGAGAAAUUUUACAUUUAUAAUUAUAUAAAUAAUAUAUCACCCAUAUGAAUAAUAGUGUAAACAUAAAACAUGUAUACUUAUAUAGUAGUUAAAUAGGUUAAAUUAUGUGUGGUUUGGCAGUCUUAAUUAAUGACAUUUGGACAAAUGUAAAGUUAUACAUAGAGGAAUUCUACUAUUAUUAUAUCUCUCAUAUGUAAAUUGGAUAAAGUUAUUCUUACGGAACUUGCGUAGUUCAAGAACAGUUUGAGCAACGAAACUUCUCGAAGAGAGUAUGAAAUUUGGGGAGACUUUCGUUUGUGUCAGUUUCAUUUUUCGAACCCUAAAAUACUAAUUUAGUUUUUAGAAUUCAACCAAUUUAAUUUGUAUACCUAUUACGAGUAAUACGAUAAUCACACAUUUUUUAUCGUACAUAUCCAAAUGCCAUAAUAAUUCAACACAGAUAGGAAAGAGCAACGCUCGCAAUUUUACUUAGAGUUCGAGUUGCUACGUACAUAAUAUUUUUUUCACCAAAAUUAUUACGUAAAAAAUAUUAUUUUUUGCCCGAGAGGGGGUAACACCUGCGUUAUUUAUAAAGAUUAUACACAGGUAAACAUUAAACUUAAUUUACACGAAUUGUUAAUUAAUUUUUUUGAUUAAUUUAUUAAUUAAAAAGUUGAUAUGUUAAUUAAAAAUUAAAAUAAAAAAAUAUAUGUUCAUAUUUUUUUGUUGAGUUUUAAUAUAAUAAAUUAUUUAAAAAGAAAAUAUAAUCAAUAUAAUUAAAUUAAUGCCAAAUUUAGUCAAAAUUUGAACAAUUAAUUUAUGGGUUACUUUUUUUUCUUAAAUCUAAAUUAAAUUUAUUAUGGACAUAAAAUUUUAUUUUCUAAAAUAAUUAUAUUAAUUUAUUUAUAUAUAUAGGAAUAUUAUAUAAGUGAGAAGAGGGAGUGUGAAAUAUUUGAGGGCGGAGGAAGAAGAAGAUUUGGAGAGGAAGGAAUUUGCUCCGCUUUUAGUCCGUCGAGGACGAAGGAGAUCGGCACCUGGACCACCUCUUCUCCCGUGCUUUAUUUCUCCAUUAAUUCCUUCUAAUUUUCUCCCCUCAACUUUAUUUAAUUCUAAUUUCCCCCCCUCAACUUUAUUUAAUUCUAAUUUCCUCCCCUCAACUUUAUUUAAUUCUAAUUUUCUCCCCUCAACUUCAUUUAAUUCUAAUUUAGGCCUUGACCUCUCACCUUCCUUCUCAUUUGAUUUCAUCACUUCGCUAUCUGUUGGCAGGGGUUCAUUAAUUUCGUUAGAACAAUAUUCAUUAGCAUGUGUAUGUAUAUAUAUAUAUAUAGAUAUAAAUAAAUGACAACCAAUAAAUAUAUCAAAUAAUAAAAUAAUAUUUAAUCAUAUGCAAAAAAUAAUGACCAUAUAUUCAAUUAUAUGUGACAAAACAAUAAUUAAUGACAGUCAUUUAUGUAAGGUACUAAUACCUCGAAAUAGGCAAAAAAAAACAAUGUACCAUAUAUAUAUAUAUAUAUGUAUAUAUAAUCAAGAAAUUUACUAAUAUUUUGAUUCUUUAUUUUUAUCAAAAAGUGUUUAAAUUAACUAAAAAAAUAAGUGUUUAUAUAAGUUGUAUGUAUAUAUAUAUAUAUAUAUAUAUAAUAUAAGUAAGGUCUAAAGCAUAUGAAAGGUAUUAGUUUUAUAAUGUUUUAGAUAUUUACAUAAUAAAACAUUUACUUACUUAAAAGCUUAUAUUUAAAAAAAAAAAAUGCACCAAGUAACUUUCCAAUAAUAUUGAGAAAGAAUUAAUUGUUAUAAGCCGGCUUAUUAGCUAAGUUAUUAAAAUACUUGGUUAAUUGAUUAUAAGCUCUCUCGAAAUAAAAUUUAAGCUAGCUAACGAUUUUUCUUUUCCGAAACAAAAUAGUAUCUUAGAUUUUAACCCAUUAUGAUUAUCUAAAUAAAAAAAAAAUGAGUACAUCAAAUUUUUAAUACGUUAUAAUUAUCUCAAUUAAGAAAAUCUUAUAUACGAUAAAAUAUUUUUUCAUCUACAAUCGUAAUAAAUUCAUAAUAGUUUAUUGGUCAUUAUAAUCUUAUUAAUAUAGUAAUGAAUUAAGUUUUCGAUCUCGUUUGAUUAAAUAUUAUAGGUCGACUACCAGUAGCUCAUGAUAACCUUCCACAUGUAAUUAUUCAUUUUUUCCAACUAUAAAAACUGAUUUUAAGUCGAAGGUUAAAUUAAACCUUCAGAACUCAUAAGGAAAUUAUUGUCGGGUUAGUCAAGGAAAACUCUAUCUUCUUUAUGUUUUAAAAAGUAUGUCACUUUUUCAUACGUUUUAUCAUUUUUAAUAAAAUUUUGUUGUCCCGAAAAUAUUAGAUGUCAAAACUAAAACUCUGUGAAAUAUUCUACCAAAGAUCAAUUAUGAUAGGAUCAUCUUGAAAACCUAAUGUAGAGGAGAGAGAAAGUAUGUCGGUACUCUUUUAUCCAAACGUGUGUGAAGUUGUGAUUCUGAAGGCAUCUGAGCUUCGUUUUUAAGUGAUCUAAUCGUUCGAUGAUUGAACGACUGUCAACAAUACUCUCUUAUUAUAUUCAUAUAUCUCUUUUAUAUAUUUAUAAAUAUUUUUUUUCGUUAUGACAACUUUUUAUAAUCAUUCAAAAUGAAAAUUAUUUUACGUUUAAUUUUAUUUAAAUAACUAAUAACAUCUUAGUGAUUUAUGUAUAAAAAAAAAAUUGAUGUUAAAAUUGAUUACAAGGGAAUUCAAAAUUGAAAACUGAAGAAAAAAAAAACAAAAUUGCAUUAAAAAAUUUGUAACAAAAUUUAAUGCUUACUUGGGAAGAUUGGUAGAUUUUCCUCCAUUGACAGUGUGUGAAGCUCAACUUCUGAGAUGAAAUUAUAAGCAGUUUCUGAUGAAGAACAUGAACAUGCUCUGCAAACAAGAAUGAAGGAGAAGAAGAAGAAGAAGAAUGGGUAUGGAACAACUAUUUUCCUUUUCAUGUUAGUUUAUGUAUAACAAAGAAGACGAAGGUCUAAGCAGUCUUUAAUAACGAAUACAUAUAUAUAUACACACACACGCACGCAACAAAUACAUACAUAAAUACCCAUUUUGAUAUGUACAUAUAUAUAUAUAUUAAUAUUAUUUAUCAAAUUAUAUUCUUAAUUUUAUAAUUGAAUAGAACAAAAGGGUAUUUCUGCG
rnacentral:lncRNA from 1 species